GCGGGCGCUGCUUAACAUGCAAGUCGAACGGUAACAGGGAGCUUGCUCCGCUGACGAGUGGCGAACGGGUGAGUAAUACAUCGGAACGUGCCCAGUAAUGGGGGAUAGCUCGGCGAAAGCCGGAUUAAUACCGCAUACGCCCUGAGGGGGAAAGUGGGGGACCGCAAGGCCUCACGUUAUUGGAGCGGCCGAUGGCUGAUUAGCUAGUUGGUAGGGUAAAGGCCUACCAAGGCGACGAUCAGUAGCUGGUCUGAGAGGACGAUCAGCCACACUGGGACUGAGACACGGCCCAGACUCCUACGGGAGGCAGCAGUGGGGAAUUUUGGACAAUGGGGGAAACCCUGAUCCAGCAAUGCCGCGUGUGCGAAGAAGGCCUUCGGGUUGUAAAGCACUUUUGUCAGGGAAGAAAUCCUUUGGGCUAAUACCCUAGGGGGAUGACGGUACCUGAAGAAUAAGCACCGGCUAACUACGUGCCAGCAGCCGCGGUAAUACGUAGGGUGCAAGCGUUAAUCGGAAUUACUGGGCGUAAAGCGUGCGCAGGCGGUUGUGUAAGACAGGUGUGAAAUCCCCGGGCUUAACCUGGGAAUUGCAUUUGUGACUGCACGACUAG
rnacentral:rRNA from 1 species